UCGACGGCGCCUGGUUCACUCCACCAAAGAGGCAGCGCUGGCUAUCGGACUGUCAUUCGAGAAGAUACAACGUUGUAAUACAAUCCCUUCUCUUCCUAGCCGCGACCUUCUAAAUAACAUGAGACACACAACACACACCAAGUUUUAUGGGACUUUUAACGGUCAAUCUUUUUAGAUGCAGUCCCCCAUUUGUCCCGAUCAAUCGGCGACAGAUUGCGUCUGCAGCUGGACACCAUCUUUUUUAAAAAGAGAAGGAAAAAAAAAAAAGGGAAACAUGAAAAAUUCCACACAAUCUUCGUCAACCUACCCUU